AGAGCAGCCACGACGAUGAUUCAUCCCGAUUCCUGAGUCCCCGCUUGCGUGAGGACAGGCCAAGCAGAAAGCAUGGAGACGUCUGAUAUGGCGACAGCAAAGUCCGUGUUCAGUUCAGCUGAAGAAGCGRUGCCUACCUCUUCCCCAGUGCUGUUUUUAGUGCUGGGGUGCACUGCUGGGCUUCCGCAUCCUGCCUGGCAGUGGAAGCAGCUAGAAACCACAAGGGACUGUCUUGGUGGUAUUUUUGCUCUGGACCAGCAGUAUUCAGAACGUCACUGGCAGGAGGCCAGUGCCAAAUCUUAUUUAAUCUUGG